rnacentral:rRNA from 1 species
UACGAAGGAUGCAAGCGUUAUCCGGAUUCACUGGGUUUAAAGGGUGUGCAGGUGGGAUAAUAAGUCAGUGGUGAAAGCCCCCGACUCAAUCGGGGAACUGCCAUCGAUACUGUUAUUCUUGAGUGUGGUUGAGGCGGAUGGAAUAUGACAUGUAGCGGUGAAAUGCUUAGAUAUGUCAUAGAACACCGAUCGCGAAGGCAGUCCGCCAAACCAUUACUGACACUGAAACACGAAAGUGCGGGGAUCAAACAGG